GCAUCUCCACUGAGAACUCUAGUACGGGGACAUGGAUCAAAAAGACACAAAAGCAAAGGAAUGAUUCCUCCAGUAAGGAUUAAGAGAUGGUUGCGAAACACAGUGGAAAAGCUGCCCCUUCUGUUUCAGUAGAUAAAGGGAGGAGCAGAGUCUUUUAACAGCAAAAAAAAACCCUAAACCAACAAACCUUAAUGCCAAAAUACUAUUUAUGGUGCAAUUACUCUCUCCUCAAGGGAAGAUGUUGACUGGGAAAAUUCUAGAUAUGUUGCAAACUAACUGGAACAUGCAGGGAGCCAGUGAAAGAUACUUUUUAGAUAUAACUUCGUUGCUAUAGACAGGAGUUGUUUAUUAGCAAUAAGAUACAAAAGUGUCUUAAACUAAGGCCUGGGGGACAAGGAUUUUUUACGGCUGUUAUGCCAGUGAUUGUUAAGUCUAGAAAUCAGCUCUUUAUAGUAGACUAUAGGUCAAAGAACUUUUUUUUUUAAUUAUUUUCUUUACAGAGGAUGAAUCUCAGAUGGCUUUCGCAAAAAAAAAAAAAAAGAAAAAGAAAAAAAAGAAAAAAAACACGUAAGUUUUAAAAUAGGCUCAGAAGAUGGGCUUUUCUGUAUAUGGAAUAUUGUAGGCUUGGUGUUGUUCAAGUGCUUGUGCCUUUUCUCGUGUUCUCAGUGUCUCAUGCAGUACGUCCAUAAGCAAAUAGUGGAUUUGCAGGUGCAUGUUCCUUUACUGCUAAUAGUCCUCACAUCAACUUGUUCAUGCACAGCUGAGGAGCGCAUACAUGGGGAGGUGUGCACUUGUAAAGGUGUAGAGCAGGGAAAAACUAAAGAAGAUGGAGAUCAGUAUAUGAUGUGAUAGAAGCAUUAUUAUAAUUAGGGAACAGCUGUGAAUCUUUAGAGUAGGUAAGCUCUCAUAGUAUCUGUCCAUGCUCAGGUAUUUUGCCACCUAACUCAUCAUGGAAAUUACUGCUGAAGGACUUCCAACUAUAUUAGAAGUUAUCAUCAAUUCUUGCUUGUUUAGAAGCAGGAACAGUAUCAUCCUGAUUUCAGCUGAAAUCGCUAUGGAGGCAUCCAUAUCUUAAUGCAUGAUCUCUAAGUGUAGCAUAUCAUGACACAUCUGUUUUCUUCAAAGAUUUGCUCGAACAAGUUUGCAAAAUUUACUGAUCUUUUUCCUUACGUCCGUUUUCCUCCUGUGCUUGAGUCUUAGAUGCAAACCCCAGUGAGAGAAGACAAUGUUCGGGUUAUUUAACACACUUUCUUUCCUCAUGCUGUAGUACGAAACUUAGAAAUUCCUUUGUCUAACACCUGGCUAUUCAGAUAACCUCUACAGUUAGAGAAGGAAAUGCAAGUUAAAGAUGGAAAUACUGAAGGAAUUUUAUCAAGUGCGAAGCAGGAACAUUUGUAAAGAUAGCUGUCACAUCUUGCUGCUCAACUGAUCUUACUUCGUCAUUCCCAAGCCCUUGUAUAUGCCCAUAACAACCUAGAAGUAAAUACAUUUUGUUUCUGAGAUCGUUUCUGAAUCACAGAACAGCCAAUAACUGGGGGCGAUGUUGGAUUAGCAAGCAAAGAUCUACCAUCCCACUGCAGUUCUUUAACAGGAUUGCAGUUCCUUUAAAUCAAUUCCCAUUGAUUCUCAAGGGCAGAGACUGCCCUCUGUGUAAUUUGUUUUACUUGAGGGGACAGAUUUUUUUCUGUCUAUUCUUUGAGUUGUCUAUUAUUAACUAGCUAAUGUUUAUUCUAACAAAUGAGCAUCACUGUAUUUUCCUGCAGGUACCAUUCCACGUAUAAGGCUGUCUCAACAGUGGAAGCUGGCUCUGUUCUUCCUCCCAUGCUUGCUUACCUGACUCUUUAAUCAAAUGCUAACUUAACAAUUCUUAUUUCUCAUGUUGUAGAGCCAUGCAAAACACAGUUUGACUUCUGGAUUUGACCCAUGGCAUUAACAAAUGGGAGAGUCAUCUUCUCACUGCAAGCUGAGUGCAUUGGAAAUGGUACCCACUGGGAAGCAAUAAACCAUGCUGAUUUUGUAGUAAUUUUCCAGAGUACAGCUGUGGUUUAAAACUUUGUGCAGCUCUCUGUAAUCUUCUUUUAUUAAAAAAUAAAAAAUAAAAAAAUGAAAAAGGAAAAGAAAACAGAAAAUAAAAC
rnacentral:lncRNA from 1 species